AGCUUUCCACAGUGGCAGUAUUGCAGCCAGUGAGGUUUAUCUGAGGUGCGAUAUUGCUAAUUGAGAAUCCAGCCCCAGCUGACAGUUUUCUCUGCAACUUCAUAGACCUUGAGCCAAAG
ensembl:snRNA U4 U4 spliceosomal RNA